rnacentral:rRNA from 1 species
GACGAACGCUGGCGGCGUGCUUAACACAUGCAAGUCGAACGGAAAGGCCCUGCUCUUGCGGGUUGCUCGAGUGCCGAACGGGUGAGUAACACGCGAGUAAACUGUCCUUGUCUUUGGGAUAACUUUACGAAACUGGGGAUAAAAUCGGAUAGGAGCUCUUGCUCCACGGUGGGGGUUGGAAAGAUUCGGCGGUUGUGGAUGGUCUCGCGGGUUAUCAGCUUGUUGGGGGGGUAGUGGCUUACCAAGGUUUCGACGGGUAGCCGGCCUGGGAGGGUGACCGGCCACAUUGGGACUGAGAUACGGCCCAGACUCCUACGGGAGGCAGCAGUGGGGAAUAUUGCAGAAUGGGCGGAAGCCAGAUGCAGCGGCGCCGCGUGCGGGAUGACGGCCUUCGGGUGGUAAACCGCUUUCGCCUGUGACGAAGCGUGAGUGACGGUAAUGGGUAAAGAAGCACCGGCUAACUACGUG